rnacentral:rRNA from 1 species
UACGUAGGGGACGAGCGUUGUCCGGAGUUACUGGGCGUAAAGCGCACGCAGGCGGUCUGCUAAGUUUGGAGUGACAGUUGGUGGCUUAACUGCCAAAGUGCUUCGAAAACUGACAGACUUGAGGGCUUCAGAGGGACACGGAAUUCCGGGUGGAGCGGUGAAAUGCGUAGAGAUCCGGAGGAACACCGACGGCGUAGGCAGCGCCCUGGCUGUGAAUAAAGCUGACACUGAGGCACGAAAGCUGGGGGAGCAAACAGG